GCCUUUCCUCUCAGGGCGACACUAGGGGCUGGAGGACUACCUGUGGAGCUCACAGGCUUAGGAUGUGCUUCAGGAAGGCUGCACGGGAGGAGGCGAGAGGACUUGAGACUGACUGAAGGGCAAUCCGUGGAACUUUAGACAAACAGGCCAGUUGUGGUAGUGCACACCUGUGAUCCCGGCACUUAGAAGGAAGACGUGAAGUUGGAGCCUUCCUUGGCAGCCUGGGGUACAGGAGACCGUUUCAGCAAAUGAAAAGAUAACUCUUGCAAGGCAGGGGCACCCUCAUGCUCAGCCAGGAAGGAGUGGCCAUCCUUUCCCCAAGGCUCUGUUCACCACUCCACAAGCCAAACUCACAGGAAGAUCCUGGGCCCGAUCCAAGUACACAACCAGGAUGGCAGCU